GGAAGGAUCAUUAAAGCUGGGUGGACAUGUUUCUCCGCAUGAAUUUCAAAACCCAUUCUGUGUACCUUACCUGUUGCUUCCGUGCUGCGCGUGCUGGAAGCCAUGCCUCCUUGGCCGUACCACCGUCUGGUGGCGAUACCUGGGGUGUCGGCGCGGAUGGCUUACCAUAAACUCUUGCGUUUCCAUGUUUUCUGUCUGAACUGUCGUACAAAAUAAUUAAAACUUUCAACAACGGAUCUCUUGGUUCUCGCAUCGAUGAAGAACGCAGCGAAAUGCGAUAAGUAGUGUGAAUUGCAGAAUUCCGUGAAUCAUCGAAUCUUUGAACGCACAUUGCGCCUCCUGGUAUUCCGGGAGGCAUGCCUGUUCGAGCGUCAUUAAAAUCAAAUCAAGUAUUUGUGCUUGGUCAUGGAGGAAGAGUCCACCCUGUGGUCUCCCCACCGAAAUCCAAGGGCGGAAAGACUCCAGUACACGGUGUAGUACUAACGUAUCGCUUCGUGUCUGGAGUCGUACCUGCCGUCAAACCCCCCCACAUUUCUCUUGAUUGACCUCGGCUCAGGUACGGGAUACUCGCUGAACAUAAGCAUAUCA
rnacentral:rRNA from 1 species